CCUACGGGUGGCAGCAGUGGGGAAUAUUGCACAAUGGGGGAAACCCUGAUGCAGCGACGCCGCGUGAGUGAAGAAGUAUUUCGGUAUGUAAAGCUCUAUCAGCAGGGAAGAAAUAGCGACCUUUGGGUCGCCAGACGGUACCUGAUUAAGGAGCCCCGGCUAACUACGUGCCAGCAGCCGCGCUAAUACGUAGGGGGCAGGCGUUAUCCGGAUUUACUUGGUGUAAAGGGAGCGUAAACGGCAGGGCAAGUCUGAAGUGAAAUGCCGGGGCUUAACCCCGGAACUGCUUUGGAAACUGUGGAGCUAGAGUGCAGGAGAGGUAAGUGGAAUUCCUGGUGUAGCGGUGAAAUGCGUAGAUAUUAGGAGGAACACCAGUGGCGAAGGCGGCUUACUGGACUGUAACUGACGUUGAGGCUCGAAAGCGUGGGGAGCAAACAGGAUUAGAUACCCUAGUAGUC
rnacentral:rRNA from 1 species